UUCCCUCUGUUGCUAUAAUAGGAGCUCGAUUUUCUCUGUCUGUUCUUUAGAUCUGUUUAUUGUACAUGUAGAAACCAUUUCCGAACAGAAUGUGGCAGCAUAUGCUUAUUUGGUUUCUGUAGUUGACUCUUUUCACCUGUAGGUUAUUUUUUGCACGAUAUUAUUGUCAAAUGUAUUUGAAGCCUAUCAUCUCGUUCUGAAAUACAUCCUCUACGGGACUUUUGUUAUGAAAGGGGGAUUUUUAUGUCUUUCCUCCAUUCGUUGACGUCACGCUCGUGAAAUUGACAGGCCACCUGGGGAAGAGUCGGGAUUUAAAGAGAUACGUCCGUCGCAUAAACUGGAGGUUGUGUUACCGCACAUGGCACAAAGAUUCACUGUCAAUACAUUCGGUUCCAGUUCCAGGUCCAUCGGUGGCGCGGACAACAUCUGCAAGAUAUUACGGGGGACGAGGGGUGAGACCACAAGAGAUCAAGCCCGAUGGGAUUGUGCUCACAUCAACAGACAAUUCUCAGAGACAGAUCUCAAGGGUUCUGGCUGACAGGGUCUGUUUUUCUCCAACAGAGUCACGGUUGUGUGAAGUGACAUGCCGAGCAUUGCCUUCUUCUCCACUGGUCUAUUAUGCAGAGGGGAGCAGAACACAUUUCCCACCCCCACAUCCUUCCAAUUUCAGCAAUGAAAAAUGAAAGCCCAUUUCCCACAGGGCUCCUAGGAAAGAGCAAGCACAGGUAAUUAAGUGGAGCUACGCUCAGCCCCUUGUCAAGGCAAUUACCACAAAUCAUAUGCUCUUACUGGCUCUAAUUACAGUGGAUCUGUCUGUCCGCCUUUCCUGGCAGCCUCACUCUCCUCAUAGCAUUUUUACAACAAUAGCAAUUAUGCCAUGUACCAUUUACAUGUGUAACUUCUAUAGUCAAAAUAGAUGUUGCUUGUAGGGGCUUACCGCAAGUCAAUUGUCCUACAAGAG